GGAAGUAAAAGUCGUAACAAGGUUUCCGUAGGUGAACCUGCGGAAGGAUCAUUAACGAACUCUCGAAGGAGACUCGGUCGCUGCUGGACUUUGUCCCAAAGUCGAACGUGCACCCGGGCCUCCCUUCUCGUUCACUCAUCCAUCCUCAUCUGUGUAUCUCUCGUGGGCCGAGAUCUCUUGGCUCAUGUUUCUCUUACGAAAGCCUCAGAAAUUAUCAUCGAGUGACGGCCGCUCGAGUCUGACUCGACGGCGGCAGCUUGUACAACUUUCAACAACGGAUCUCUUGGCUCUCGCAUCGAUGAAGAACGCAGCGAAAUGCGAUAAGUAAUGUGAAUUGCAGAAUUCAGUGAAUCAUCGAAUCUUUGAACGCACCUUGCGCCCCUCGGUAUUCCGAGGAGCAUGCCUGUUUGAGUGUCAUCAGAACAUCAACCCCCCGAGGGCUGUCGAAGCCUUCGGAGGUGUUUGGAACUUGCGGCGUGCGGCGAAGCUUCUCUCGCGGGCUUCUCCGCUCCUCGCGGAAUACAUCAGCGGACGUCUUACCUGCAGUCCUGCCUUGGCGUGAUAGCUGUCUACGUCCUGGCUUUGUGGCUUGUGCAUCCCUCGACUCUGCUUCAAAACUCGGGCCCCGUUCCUUCCCUGCGACGGGCGGGCCCGCCUGACGAUCUGACCUCAAAUCAGGUAGGAUUACCCGCUGAACUUAAGCAUAUCAAUAAGCGGAGGAAAAGAAACUAACAAGGAUUCCCCUAGUAACUGCGAGUGAAGCGGGAAAAGCUCAAAUUUAGAAUCUGGCGGUC
rnacentral:rRNA from 1 species